AACAUUUGGGUUUGCUUCGCAGUGCAGGGAUGAGGAAUUGUUUAGCGGAAUGUGCUUGGGAGGUGGGAAGAGAGGAAAGCAAAUGCUUCGGAAUACUCUGCCUUGAACUCUAAACCUGCACUCUCGUCGAACCGUUUGGUGAACACCUUUCCCAGGUAGACCCAGUGAGGAAGGUGGGAACCCAAAUAUCUUCUGAAGGGCUUAUGUUCGAAACGUCGAAUUCUCUAUUCCUGAGAUGCUGCCUGGCCUGCUGUGCUUUGACCAGCAACACAUUUGCAACCCAAAUAUCUUCAGCCUUCAAGUGUGACUGAAAAAGCAACAAGCCCAAAACAGACCAGAUUAACUGUGUUUCAUUGCACUUGAGUGUGGAAGGAGCUUUAACUCAUUAUAUAGCUUCAAAAAGAAACGUCACACUGUGCACACCAGGAUAUCCUCGACAUGCGUUCUGUUGUUACAACUGUUCAGCUAACCUGAAAAGACCCAAAGACUCAUGUGCCGUGGAGAAGGGUGAAGAAUGUGGCAAAGGAUCUGAUCGCCCAUACCUGUUUGAAAACCAUCACCGCAAUGGGAUUGGAGAGAGGCUAUUUUACUCAAUUACUCAAUAAUUCACUCACUCAUCUGGUCUUUGUUCACACCAGGAGAAGCUAAUCUGCUGCACGUUCUGCGAUAAGAGGUUCUGGUAUUGUUCUGCUCUCACUGUGUACUGACACACAACGGAGAAACGCCAUUCAGCUGCUAAGGGAUUCACUGAUUUGCCCACUCUGCAGGCAGACCACCAAGUGUACGCUAGGGAGAAGGCAAAUGCUGUAAGUGUGGCAAUGAUCUCACUCAGUUAUCCAUCCUGCAGAUACACCGACUGAACCAUCAUCCCGCAUUCCCGGCUGGCAUCGCACAUUCGAGAUCCGGUGAUUUUGAUGUGAUCCCAUAUUCCUGCUUUUGUUUGGUUGUAAAUUCUGCAGAUGUUGGAAAUCUGGAACAAAAAACAAAGAGAGUGUACUGGUAAAAAUCAGCAGGCGAUCAGGAAAGGGAACUCAAACCAAGUAUCAGCGACAAUGCUCACUUAAUCGGGAACUGGAAGUUAUCGGUCUUUCCCCGUGAAAAGAGAAAUGUUACAACUCAAAUGCACAGGCGAUUAAAAACCAUUGCACCCUUGACAGCCGAGAGGAUUUACAUGGCAUAGACUUACAGAGAUUCAGAGCACAGGGUCUGGACCGCUCAAAACCAGCAACCUAACUGCCUAAUCGAAUUCUCCAGAACUUAGCCCAUAACCUUGUAAGCCUUGGCAUCCCAAGUGUACUUCAAAAUACAUCGUGAAGAUUUCUGCCUCGAUCGCCCCAAAGACCAUGAGUGUAAGAUUCCCACCACCUUGUGGACUAGCUUUGUGUGUGGGCAAGGCUUGAGGACAAAACUCAAACCUGGAGGCAGCCAAUGAUGCCAGCGCCAUGGCGAAGCCAUGUCAAUGUGGGGAUUGUGGAAAGGCAUUCAAAUAUCCAUCCCUGCUGGCAAUUCAUCGGCUGGUUCACACUGGAGAGAAGCCGUUCACCUGCUCCCAGUCUGGGAAAGGAUUCACUCAGUCAACAACUCUGCUGAAACACCAGCGGUUUCAUACCGGGGAGAGACCCUUCGUGUGUUGUGCCUGUGGGAAAGGAUUCACUCAGUCUUCUGAGCUACUGGUACACCAGCGGGUUCACACUGGGGAGAGGCCAUUCACCUGCUCCAGUUGUGGGAGGGGAUUUACUCAACUGUCCCAGCUACUGACCUAUCAGCGCGUUCACACCGGAGACAGGCCGUUUGCCUGUUCUAUGUGUGAGGAAAGAUUCACUAAUUCAUCCAACCUUCUGACACACUGCCGAGUUCACACUGGGGAGAGGCCCUUCAUCUGCCCUGUGUGACAGAAAGGGUUCACAACUUCAUCCAAUCUUCUGACACACCAGCGGCUUCACACUGGGGAGCGGCCCUUCUCCUGUUCGACCUGUGCACGGAGAUUUAGUCAGCUUGCCCACCUGCUGGCACAUCAGCAAGUUCACACGUGACUCCAGAGGUUGGGAAUCUACCAUCAUUCUGACUGCCUUUCACAUUGGGAUGGAUCAGGAGCAGAUUCGUGACGGUGAUAUCAACCUGUUCCAUGUUCUGACAGGGUUGGGCUUUAAAAGGAAAACGGACAUGCUGACCCACCAGUAUCCUCACAUGGAGAGAGACCAUUCAUAUGCUACUCACUCAGUCAUCUCAUCUUCAUACACUCCUGCAAGGUCUCAUUCAGUAGCUGCGUAUGUGGGAAAGCAGUCUCUCAUCAAUCAGUUGUGCUGAAACACCAGGUAUUUCAGUCUGAGGAGGGACUGUUCUCCUACUCCGACUGUGGGAAGAGGUUCAUUCCAUAUUCCCAUUUUAUUGAGACAGCAGCAAGAUCACAUUGGCGAGACACCAUUCACUUGGCCCUUGUGUUGGAAGAAAUUCAUGAACACUUCCCACAGUCUAGAGGCACCGUUGGGUUCACAAGUGACUGCAAAAGUUGGUAUGAUAGUAAAAUAUUUGCAAGUUCAUUGCAUAGAAAUAGGCCAUUCAAGUAGUGGUAGUCUGCCUGAAAGGAACUAUCUCCACCUUUCCCCCAUUCCUUUCCCAAUUUCUUUCUCCACAGCCUUGCAGGUUCCAGUGCUUCAGGAACAGAUCCAGAUUCCUUGUCUACGUGAGCUUCUGCCUCACUCUAGGCUGUGAAUUCCAGUCAGGCCCCAUUCUCCUGGUAAAAAUCAUCUCCCUCAAAGUUUGGAUUCUGCUCUUAAUCGUACCCAGGACUGGAUGUUGUUCAUUAUAUCAAUCAGAUGUUGUUUCUGCUGAUGUUUAAUAUACUGGAUAAA